rnacentral:rRNA from 1 species
UACGUAGGGGGCAAGCGUUGUCCGGAAUCAUUGGGCGUAAAGAGCGCGUAGGCGGUCCGGUAAGUCGGUUGUGAAAACUGGGGGCUCAACCCUCAGAGGCCGACCGAUACUGUCGGGCUAGAGUCCGGAAGAGGCGAGUGGAAUUCCUGGUGUAGCGGUGAAAUGCGCAGAUAUCAGGAGGAACACCGGUGGCGAAGGCGGCAUCCUGGACCAAUUCUGACGCUGAGGAGCGAAAGCCAGGGGAGCAAACGGG